UACGGAGGAUGCGAGCGUUAUCCGGAUUUAUUGGGUUUAAAGGGUGCGUAGGCGGGCUUUUAAGUCAGCGGUAAAAAUUCGGGGCUCAACCCCGUCCGGCCGUUGAGACUGGGGGUCUUGAGUGGGCGAGAAGAAGGCGGAAUGCGUGGUGUAGCGGUGAAAUGCAUAGAUAUCACGCAGAACCCCGAUUGCGAAGGCAGCCUUCCGGCGCCCUACUGACGCUGAUGCACGAAAGUGCGGGGAUCGAACAGG
rnacentral:rRNA from 1 species